rnacentral:rRNA from 1 species
GACGAACGCUGGCGGCGUGCUUAACACAUGCAAGUCGAGCGGUAAGGCCCUUUCGGGGGUACACGAGCGGCGAACGGGUGAGUAACACGUGGGUGACCUGCCCUCAGCUCUGGGAUAAGCCUGGGAAACCGGGUCUAAUACCGGAUAUGACUCCAUGACGCAUGUUGUGGGGUGGAAAGCCUUGUGCGGCUGAGGAUGGGCCCGCGGCCUAUCAGCUUGUU